GCGUGACGCUGACGCUGACGCGUCCCUUCCGGCGGAUCGACCUCGGGCAGGUGGGCGAGUUUCGAGGAACGGGUCUUGUUGGAACCGGAUUCGGGCGCAUCCAGUUCCGGGCGUAGUAAAAGUACCCCAUCGGUCAAUCAACCGCAACCAGGAGAACAAGCUAUGCCUCCCGCUAGGCCUGUUGUGCAGGAAGCUGCUAAUCAGGGUCUACAUUCUCAAUGAAUGUCGAAACGACUACCCAACAUCUAUUUUGUCAGGGUUAUAGUCCAUAAAGGUAGGAAGAUAGAAGCGAUAGCCUUCAUACGCUGAAGCAAGGGUGAUGAUAAAGUUUCAUACCUAGCACGCUGCACUCUUGUCAUUAACUCUGUUAAUAGAACACUCAAGCUAAUACAACCUCUGACCUCUCACCUUUUUUCCUUCAUUUAGCUUUCAUCCAUUACCAUUUCCUUCGAAUCUUUCCUCUAUUUCAGCAAAGAAAACCUUUAAGCCAACAAGAAAAAGUCAAUGAUGGUCGUUUCCCCUUUUGAGAAACAGAAACUGUAAGUCUGCAAC
rnacentral:lncRNA from 1 species